rnacentral:rRNA from 1 species
UACGGAGUGUGCAAGCGUUACUCGGAAUCACUGGGCGUAAAGCGCGCGUAGGCGGGCUUUCAAGUCGGUUGUGAAAUCCCUCAGCUCAACUGAGGAACUGCAUCCGAUACUGUUUGUCUUGAGGACGAGAGGGGAGAGUGGAACUUCUGGUGGAGCGGUGAAAUGCGUAGAUAUCAGAAGGAACGCCGGUGGCGAAAGCGGCUCUCUGGCUCGGAACUGACGCUGAGACGCGAAAGCGUGGGGAGCAAACAGG